GAUGAACGCUAGCGGCAGGCUUAAUACACGCAAGUCGAGGGACAGCACAGGUAGCAAUACUGGGUGGUAACCGGCAAACGGGUGCGGAACACGUACACAACCUUCCUUUAAGUGGGGGAUAGCCCAGAGAAAUUUGGAUUAAUACCCCGUAAUAUAGUUGAAUGGCAUCAUUUGAUUAUUAUAGCUACGGCGCUUAAUGAUGGGUGUGCGGCUGAUUAGAUAGUUGGCGGGGUAACGGCCCACCAAGUCUACGAUCAGUAGCUGAUGUGAGCGCAUGAUCAGCCACACGGGCACUGAGACACGGGCCCGACUCCUACGGGAGGCAGCAGUAAGGAAUAUUGGUCAAUGGACGCAAGUCUGAACCAGCCAUGCCGCGUGAAGGAUUAAGGUCCUCUGGAUUGUAAACUUCUUUUAUUUGGGACGAAAAAGGGCCUUUCUAGGUCAACUGACGGUACCAGAUGAAUAAGCACCGGCUAACUCCGUGCCAGCCGCCGCAGUAACAC
rnacentral:rRNA from 1 species